UCUUCUAGCAUAAUACCACAGCGCACAGCCAUGGCACUGUUCAUCAAGCUGUAUAAAAGUUCUGAUUAUCCUACACACAAUACAUCCUGCUGGGCAGACAAGGCAGAAAGCUGCUUCUCCUCUUUUCUAUCUCCACUCCCAGGUCCUGAAGCCAUUUAAUAGCAAGUGGCCUCUAGAAUGGAUCGGCAUCUUCACUGACCAUGAAAUGAGAAGGGGGACUUCCCUGGUGGUCCAGUAGUUAAGAAUCUGCCUGGCAGUGCAGGGGAUGCGAGUUCGAUCCUUCAUCGGGAAACUAAGACCUCACAUGUUAUAGGGCAACUACGGCUGCGUGGCACAACUAGAGAGACUUCACACCAUGAAGAAACAUCCUGCAUGCCACAACUGAGACCCAAGGCAGCCAAAUUAAUAAACAGUUUUUUUAAAAAAUGAAAA